rnacentral:rRNA from 1 species
UACGUAGGUGGCAAGCGUUGUCCGGAUUUACUGGGCGUAAAGAGCGCGCAGGCGGUCGUUCAAGUCGCGUGUGAAAGCCCCCGGCUCAACUGGGGAGGGUCACGCGAUACUGAUCGACUCGAAGGCAGGAGAGGGUAGUGGAAUUCCUGGUGUAGCGGUGAAAUGCGCAGAUAUCAGGAGGAACACCGGUGGCGAAGGCGGUUCUCUGGGCAUUACCUGACGCUGAGGAGCGAAAGUGUGGGGAGCGAACAGG